UACAGAGGUCCCAAGCGUUGUUCGGAUUCAUUGGGCGUAAAGCGCGCGUAGGCGGCCCUGUAAGUCCGCUGUGAAAGUCAAAGGCUCAACCUUUGAAAGCCGGUGGAUACUGCAGGGCUAGAGUCCGGAAGAGGCGAGUGGAAUUCCUGGUGUAGCGGUGGAAUGCGCAGAUAUCAGGAGGAACACCAAUAGCGAAGGCAGCUCGCUGGGACGGUACUGACGCUAAGGCGCGAAAAGCGUGGGGAGCGAACAGG
rnacentral:rRNA from 1 species